GACCCAACCCGGAAGUGUGAACAGAGUGGAGGCACCGCGUCAUUCAGGACAGCGUCUUUAUCUUUGAUAGAAAAGGAAAAAAAGUGGAAAAGCAACAGAUCCGAGGGGCGUCAUAUGUGUCCGAUUAAAAUCUGAUAAAGUCUCUGGAUAAGUCGCCUUGAAGGGGAUGCUGGGUGUCUCGGAAAUGACGGGCAGCAACAUGGCUAAUGCCCUGGCAAACGCCUCGUGCGAACGGUGCAGGAGUGGCUUCGCCCCCACGGAGAAAAUCGUCAACAGUAACGGUGAGCUGUAUCACGAGCAGUGCUUCGUCUGUGCCCAGUGUUUCCAGCAGUUCCCAGAAGGGCUCUUUUAUGAGUUUGAGGGAAGAAAAUACUGUGAGCGUGAUUUCCAGAUGUUGUUCGCUCCGUGCUGUCAUCAGUGUGGAGAGUUUAUAAUUGGGCGUGUGAUUAAGGCCAUGAAUAACAGCUGGCAUCCCGACUGCUUCUGCUGUAAUAUCUGCCAAGCCGUACUCGCUGAUGUUGGAUUCGUCAAAAACGCUGGCCGCCACCUGUGCCGUCCGUGUCAUAACCGCGAGAAGGCGCGCGGACUCGGAAAGUACAUCUGUCAGAAGUGUCACGCCAUCAUCGAGGAGCAGCCUCUCAUUUUCAAAAACGACCCCUACCAUCCGGACCACUUCAACUGCAGCAACUGCAGUAAGGAGCUGACGGCUGACGCCCGUGAACUGAAGGGUGAACUCUACUGCCUCCCCUGCCAUGAUAAAAUGGGCGUGCCCAUCUGCGGCGCCUGCAGGCGUCCGAUCGAGGGCCGUGUGGUGAAUGCCAUGGGCAAGCAGUGGCAUGUUGAGCAUUUUGUCUGUGCCAAGUGCGAGAAACCCUUCCUGGGACACCGUCAUUAUGAGAGGAAAGGUCUGGCUUACUGCGAGACCCAUUACAACCAGCUCUUCGGGGACGUUUGUUACCAUUGCAACCGCGUGAUCGAGGGAGACGUGGUCUCUGCUCUGAAUAAGGCUUGGUGUGUGAAUUGUUUCUCCUGCGCAACAUGUAACACCAAGCUCACCCUCAAGUAAGUGAUCUCACACACUAUUUAAUGAAGUCACCGGAGAUGCAAAGUGGCUUGUGAGAGGUUUCUUUAAAGCGCAAUGUUAUUCAGGUAAGACAUAUGUGAGGAUGUGAAUCUAAAAUGCAAAAAGAUUGAGUAGCUGUGUGCUGUCACCCUUUCCUCUUCUUUGUUAUUGACUCUUCUGUAUCUGUACAUUUGUCUGGUUCUGUUCAGUAAAGUGUCUUUAAAUUGGGUCUCUCGGCUGCUGUGUGCCCUUCUGAUGUUUUCUUUGGAUCAUUACUAACUUUUCUGUACUCCUAAUGCUUGUAUUUUUUUAUUUCUGUCUCCCUCAAUCCUCUCCACUGCUCUUAAAAUGGCACCACAUCCUCUUUUUCUUUCCCACUUAAAAUCUGUAUCCUCUUCCCAUCCGCUUUCCCUCUUGUUGCUCGUUUCUUCUGUCCUGCCUCUCGGUGGCCCUGAAGGGACAGAUUUGUGGAGGUGGACCUAAAGCCGGUGUGUAAACACUGUUACGAGCGGCUGCCGGAAGAACUAAAACGUCGUUUGGCGAAGCGUGAACGCGACUCUCGUGAACGCCGAAAGAAAGCCUUCGCUGUCUGAACAAGUUUGUGGAGUUCGACAUGAAGCCAGUGUGUAAGAAAUGUUACGAGAAGUUUCCUCUGGAGCUGAAGAAGAGACUCAAGAAGCUAGCGGAAACUUUGGGCCGCAAGUAGACCUCUUCAACUACAGGAGGAGCCAAAGGCUGAACAAGUAUUCCAACAGUGGUGCUUCAAGAAUAGACCAAAGAAAAUUUGGACUACUUAUUGGUAUCUUGCGUCUUAUCUGUGUAGUCUUACUUAAAUGAUGUAUUUCAGAUAUCCGUCUUUUUGGCAUUGCUAUAAGAAGCCCACAGAUUUUCAUUGGUCUCACACCAAAUGUUGUUGUCGUGUGUUAACAAGCUCGUAUAAUCAUUGAAACUUUAACCAAACAAAUGCAUUUUAUAUUGUCUUAUGCUAUAUAUGUGUACUUGCAUGUUUAUAAAGUUGAUUCUAGAUGUGGGCACACUUUCACAGGGCUUGUGAUCAUCCAGCACGUAUUUGAGAUGUUUUUCCUUCCUCAAAGCUAAAACCGUUCCUGUGUCUGGCCCUGGGCCUCAGCUUUGAUCUGUUGAUCUAAGAGUGUUAUUUGAUAUUUAAUGUAUGCCCAAGCCUAACAUUUUCUGUCUGAGAGGGAAUCAAAAAGUAGCGCAUGAUGUAAUAGGCUUAGAAGAAUGCAACAACCUUUAAACUCAACCUUCGAACUCUUCACUCCCAACAGUUUAAAUUCUGCAAUCUCCCCCUUUGCUUUUAUUGCGCUUUAUUAAAAGGCUUUCUUGUCUGUUAGAAAUAUGCAAUCAUUUAUAUCACCUUCAUUUCUACAUGGUUUAAAGUGUCCCUGUUUCACAUACUUAUGUGUUACUGUUACUGUUUUAAAGUACUUUUUUAACGUUUUACUUCUAAGACUGUAAAUUUAGGAGCCAUAUGCCUUAUUUUAUUACAGCCCUUUAAAAUCGACAGAUUAACUCGUGCCUUGUUUUUUGUUAUCCAAAUAAAUGGCGGAUUAUGUAUGAUUUAUGUAACAAAUGACAGAAUUGAAUUCUGAUUCUUAAUUCUACCCUUGUUGGAAGUCUUAAAACGAAGUUUUUUUUAAUAAUUUGUGUAUUUUAAACUUUCACCUCACUACAUUUCAGAUUUAAUGUUUUUUCACUCGUUUUAAAGAGCUUUCCUUGAGAAAGGUUGCAAAAUAAAUUACAGAAAUAUAUGGAGCAUUGGCAAAUAUACUUUUAUGCAUUUAUCUAUAUCUGGAUUCGCUGAUGCGUUUGAGCAGAAAAUACAGAGUUGUGAUGCUUGCUGGCAGCUUUGAUAUAAUACAAUUCACUGUUCUGUAUGAAAUGUCAAAAUAUAAUAAUAAAGUAUGCACUAUUUCACUA